AAGAUAUUUUUACUAUUCUGUUGAAUGUUUAAAAAGUUUAUAUAUAGUAUGAUUCGAUUAGAUUGGAUUAAAUUAGAACUAACAAUUAAUUAACUACUAAUUAGUAAUGUAUAAGGUUACAUCAGAGUACAAAUAGAAUAUUACGACUGAAAAGAUAAAUAUUUAUUGAUCGUAAUACUGACACACGUAGUGAAAUGGGGCACGUCUUGAACACUCGCAAUCCAAUAAGGACUAAAGAAUAUUAUCGAUUUGAUAUUACAUAUCGAUUGAGAUCUUCUGUAUCGAUCAAACCAUAGUUUAGUUGAAAAUGUGGCACCAUACAGUAAAACAAAAUCUGAAUGAAUUAUGAAUGACUUGAUAAAUCACAUAUGAUCAGUCAUGCAUGUUUUGGACAUAUAGACUCAUUGCCAAAGUUGCUGUUGUCAUUAUAAGCGAUAAAUUAUACAAUUAGAGAGCCGUGAUACAAAUGGAUUAAAGUCACUACUCAGUACUAGUACGUCAUUGGCAAAAAUGCUCCAGUUUGAUUUUGACGUACCAAUACGUCAUUGGCGGAUUUGAUCAGCUCGACUUUCACGUACCAGUACGUCAUGGAUUGCGAAUAGGUUAAGACAAAUGUUAGUUGUAUUUAAAAGUAUAUGACCUCUAACUGGCCAUCUACAAAAAAAGGAUUUAAUCACGAAGUUCUUUGGAAUUGCAUCGGAGAUGGUCCUCGUGUUGCAACUGACACCCGCUGGUGUCUUAGUACCCUAUCUCGAAAUAACGCAAUCUAAGAGAAAGCAGACGUACUUCUUGAAGAGGAAGCCCCAAAAGGUCACUGAGGAUAACUACAAAGAUUUGUUGAUACCAGGUGACAUGGCACCGAAUCCGAUCGAGGAACUGGCGGUGCUUGUAGAAGAUGUUAGUUCUCUAACUUUCUCUAAUUACUCUUUAACGAAACAUUCCAUUACAUUCGACUCAGGAAAAUCUAGCUUCUUUUCUUUUAUUUUGUAAUUUUAGUUGCAAUACUAUGUUAAUUACAUAUAUAGUGUAAAAAUAUAUAACGUCUUUCUCUAAAUUAGAAAAUAUUAAUUUGGUAGGUAAAAUUUGAUAUUUGGUAUUUAUUGUAACAUUAAUUGAGUUUAAAGAUUAAUUUUCAAGCUUAAUUUUUGUCACCUUUUUUGAAUAUCUUUUGCUUGUAGAAGAUAAUUAAGAUAGCAAAAUAUGUGGUAAAAGUAAAAACAGAUAAAUAUAGAAAAAAUCCUAAAUGUGAUUUUUGAAAAUAUCAAUCAAACAAUCUAUAAUUUAAGACUUAAAGGAAUCAUUUGUUUUAAUUAAUUGAAAUUUUUUUAUUAGAUGAAGUUAUAUAAUCAACUAUUUUCAAAGUGGUGUAAUUCUAUGUCCUAUAAUCUAUAGUCUGUCUAAAUAUU